UACGUAGGGGGCAAGCGUUUGUCCGGAAUCAUUGGGCGUAAAGAGCGUGUAGGCGGCUCGAUAAGUCUGCUGUGAAAGUCCAGGGCUCAACCCUGGAAGGCCGGUGGAAACUGUCGGGCUAGAGUCCGGAAGAGGCGAGUGGAAUUCCCGGUGUAGCGGUGAAAUUCGUAGAUAUCGGAAGGAACACCUGUGGCGAAAAGCGGCUCACUGGACCUAACUGACGCUUGAGGCGCGAAAAGCUAGGGGGAGCAAAACAGGG
rnacentral:rRNA from 1 species